rnacentral:lncRNA from 1 species
UCCAAGCAGCGUGCAGCGCUAGCAGGGGAUCGACCCCGGGCUUCCCGAGAUCCUCUGCUCGCGAGGCAGGCUCCACCUCAGGUGCCUCCCUGCAGCCGCGCCAUGGGCAUCGGCCACCUCCCAGGUCGGCACGUCGGAGCCUCUCCUUCCCCUACCCUCUCUGCUUUUCUCUUCUCCCAUCUCUGCUAAGCUCUCUCUUCUCUCGUUGACCAGGGCAGAGGAACCCGUCGCCGCCUUGAUGGAGGUCGCCGUCCGCGCCUCCCCAAGAUCCCUCGUCGUCGGGAAUGGGUGGCCCGAGCCCGGAUCUGCCCAUCCCGAGCCUUUCCCGUUCGUUUCUCAAGCCGUCACGCGCUGCCGGCUGAGUCAACUUGCUGUUGACCGCGCCCUGUGCUCCCUCUCGUGCUGCAGGAGCUCCAACCAGGGCCCGAUGCUCAAGCUGCACCACGCCGCCACCGACUGACUCCGGGAAUGGUUGGACCCGUGCUCUCCUCACCCGUUCAGCCGAUGCGUCGAUGAACCAACCAGCUGCAGCAGCAGGUCCCUAUGCCUCACUCUUCUUCUUCCUCCCCUGCUCUCCCCCUCUUUCUGAAUUUUUUCUCUGAACUUGUCUGAAUCAGCACCUGCAGGAGCCCCAUGGCUGCCGUCUCGUCGCCGUGAACCUCACCGUCGGAGCCCUUCCAGCCGGAUCCGCACCCGACCGUACCCCCCUAUCCAUUCCCGGCCUCCGAGUCCGCCAUCUUCGCCGAAGCAUCGCGCCGUCGACCUCUGCAUCCCCAUUGUGAGCAGUCCUCCCGAUCUGAAUUCAGUCUCCUCUAGAUCCGUUCUGGCAAGGACAUGUUGUCUAUAGUGGGCACUGGUCCUGUCAACGAGUUGUAGGCUAGCUGAGUUGGCUAGCGCAGCCAACUGCUGUGAUGGAGGUCCCCGGUUCGACUCCCGUGCGCCCCAGAUUUUAUGUUUCAUUUUCUUUUGUGGUGCACCAGCUCAUAUUUGUUCCCGUCUUGGCUAGUUGAUAUACAUUCGAAUUCCUUUCAUGCUAGUAACAGAGUUUAGUGCAGUGGCUAGCAACCUUAUUUUCAAAUGAGAGGUCCAGGGAUCAUAUCCCCAUCAGUGCAUAUUAUUUUUUUUAGGAAUUUUGCCUCCAGCGCACCAGCUUCUGUCAUACUUGUGGAUGUGCUGUUUUGUCAAUUUUGAAACAACCACUUAAUUAGUCUGGUG